UUGGAGGACGUGACAUAAAAUCAAGAGCAGGUUCUGAAUGUGAUUCUUUCACUUCCAGAUGAACUUGAAUAUUAGAAAAUUUUUAAACUCCUGAUGGUUCAUAGUGAACACAUUAAUACUUUCUUUGAAAUUGAUAGGCAAAUUAAAAUAGAGGUUGAGCGUCAAAAGGCACUUAAUCUUUCCAAUGUGGCACUUGUUAC
rnacentral:lncRNA from 1 species